CUAACCCAGCCGCCAACUGCCGAACACCGGCUUCCAUCGGCCCUUUUUCUCUAAACUUCUUAUCCUAUCUGAAGUUCGUGCAGACCAGAAAUGGAAAAUCAGGAAGAGGCAUAUUUCACGUUUGUGCGUGAAUCUAACAACCCUUUUCAUCAGGAAAACUGUUGUUGUUUGCUAGAUUCACGCACAAACUCGUAAUAUGUAUUUUUCGAAUAUCUGCGCUUUGAUUUGUAUCUAUUUCUCAAAUUGGUGCGACUCUGAAGUCUGACCUGACCUCUUUUCCCAUCUGUGUUACUGCACAUGUUUCCCUGCUCUAUACUGAUUUGAUUGAUUCUCAUGUAUCAUUUGCAUUAGCCACGAAGCUCUUCGGAAAUGGAUUGAUGUUAAUGGUACCAAGCUAGCUCAAGUGAAACACUCAUAACUUCCUAAUGAGAAUUCAAUCCCUUGCCGGCUGUGGAAGUCAACUUCAAAUUCACAAAUUUGCUUUUGGAGGAAGAUGGUUAAUUUUGGUAUUAGCAGUUUUGUGAACUUUGUAAGAUCCAGAAAAGGCUUAAUGAGAAUUCUUUUUACCUGUUCUAUGACAUUCAUGAACACGGGUUGGGUUGAAGGGAAAAAUGAAAGAGAACAGAUACUUAUCAAAGGAAAAAAUUACUUUUUCAUUCCACAAUGAAUUUCCAUCUGCUGUAUGAAAUGUAUUAAGUGAAUUGUUGAUCAUAA